UGGGCACGGGGCGUCAGGGCUUGUUCACACUACCUGCGUCUGUCGGCGGAUCUCAUGCACCAAUGCACUGCCCCCUAGUGGUUCCAGAUGCAAUAGCAGGGUAAUAAAACAUGGCUUUGAUAAACGGUCUCAGGUAUUUAUUUUUGUCAUUCAUCAGACCCGCUCACCCAAAUGCUACUUACAGUAUUACAUCAAUUUGAUUCAAGAAGCAGGUAGGGGUUAAACUGUGAACAGAUACAUGUGAUUUAAAGAGCAGUUGGGGGUAAAACUGUCACGCCGGGUCCUGCUACGCGGUCCACUACCUCCAUCUAGUGGCCACUUGACGCCAGUGGUCCUCCUCACACACCAGGCUGCAAUCAUCAAAUCACCAUUCCCUACUUCAGCCGGAGAUCUCCUACCAGCCGGCGCCAGUUCGUCGUUACGUCUACACAUACUUCCCCUGCCAUCGAACCCCUGCCUGCCUAACUACCCGUCUGUCGCCAAGCCCCUGACUGCCUGCUCGUUACCGGGCCCCUGCCUGCCUGACUACCCAUCUGUCGCCAAGCCCCUGACUGUCUGAUCGCCCGCCUGUUACCUGACCCCCUUGCUUGUCUGACUACCCGCCUGCCUACCAAUAAACCCCGUUUCCCUUUACCCCGUCUCUGUCUGUGUUCUGCACUUGGGUCCCCUCCUCACGUUCUGUACCCUUAACAAAAACAGUGAAUACAGAUGUUAUUCAAG
ensembl:lncRNA